AACGAGGCCGACCUGCGGCUGAGUUACCUGCGGAAGGAUCAUUAUAGAGUUUUCUAAACUCCCAACCCAUGUGAACUUACCUUUUGUUGCCUCGGCAGAAGUUAUAGGUCUUCUUAUAGCUGCUGCCGGUGGACCAUUAAACUCUUGUUAUUUUAUGUAAUCUGAGCGUCUUAUUUUAAUAAGUCAAAACUUUUAACAAUGGAUCU
rnacentral:misc_RNA from 1 species